rnacentral:rRNA from 1 species
GACGAACGCUGGCGGCGUGCCUAAUACAUGCAAGUAGGCCACAGUUGCGAACGGGUGAGUAACGCGUAGGUGACCUGCCCUGCACUUCGGGAUAAGCCUGGGAAACUGUGUCUAAUACCGGAUAGUGUGGGAUGGGCUCGCGGCAUAUCAGCUUGUGGGUGGGGUAAUGGCCUACCAAGGCGGCGACGGGUAGCCGGCCUGCGAGGGUGGAAGGCCACAUUGGGACGGAGACACGGCCCAGACUCCUACGGGAGGCAGCAGUGGGGAAUAUUGCACAAUGGGCGGAAGUCUGAUGCAGCGACGCCGCGGGGGGGAUGACGGCCUUCGGGUUGUAAACUCCUUUCACCAUCGACGCGGUAGAUGGAGAAGAAGCACCGGCUAACUACGUGCCAGCAGCCGCGGUAAAC